UAAGAGUUUGGCUGAAGUAUAGGCGAAAGGUUUUUAAUCUUUUUAUCGUAAGG
rnacentral:tRNA from 1 species